rnacentral:rRNA from 1 species
CAGCAGCCGCGGUAAUACGAAGGGUGCAAGCGUUACUCGGAAUUACUGGGCGUAAAGCGUGCGUAGGUGGUGGUUUAAGUCCGUUGUGAAAGCCCUGGGCUCAACCUGGGAAUUGCAGUGGAUACUGGGUCACUAGAGUGUGGUAGAGGAUAGUGGAAUUUCCGGUGUACCAGUGAAAUGCGUAGAGAUCGGAAGGAACAUCUGUGGCGAAGGCGACUAUCUGGGCCAACACUGACACUGAGGCACGAAAGCGUGGGGAGCAAACAGGAUUAGAUACCCCAGUAGUCCCUGUCUCUUAUAC